AAAUUGAAGAGUUUGAUCAUGGCUCAGAUUGAACGCUGGCGGCAGGCCUAACACAUGCAAGUCGAACGGUAACAGGAAGCAGCUUGCUGCUUCGCUGACGAGUGGCGGACGGGUGAGUAAUGUCUGGGAAACUGCCUGAUGGAGGGGGAUAACUACUGGAAACGGUAGCUAAUACCGCAUAAUGUCGCAAGACCAAAGAGGGGGACCUUCGGACCUCUUGCCAUCGGAUGUGCCCAGAUGGGAUUAGCUUGUUGGUGGGGUAACGGCUCACC
rnacentral:rRNA from 1 species